GUGCUCGCUUCAGCAGCACAUAUACUCAAAUUGGAACAAUACAGAGAUUAGCGUGGCCUCUGCACAAGGAUGACUCGCAAACUUGUGAAGCGUUCCAUAUUAAA